rnacentral:rRNA from 1 species
UACGGGGGGGGGAAGCGUUGUUCGGAAUUACUGGGCGUAAAGGGCUCGUAGGCGGCCAACUAAGUCAUACGUGAAAUCCCUCAGCUUAACUGGGGAACUGCGUGUGAUACUGGAUGGCUUGGAUUUGGGAGAGGGAUGCGGAAUUCCAGGUGUAGCGGUGAAAUGCGUAGAUAUCUGGAGGAACACCGGUGGCGAAGGCGGCAUCCUGGACCAAUAUUGACGCUGAGGAGCAAAAGCUAGGGGAGCAAACGGG